GGUAAAUAGCACUGCAAAUCAUUUGGGGACAUGCAGUUCAGUGACAGCCCACGGAACAACGUGUAAAGAGAAUGAAGAGGCACACUUAUAUGACCUCACAAUGGAAGUUCUGUGCCGGUUUUGACCUUGGAUUCAUGUACCCACAGUUCAAGAGGCUGCACCGUUGCUUACUGGAGGAAAGGCUCACCUUACAGUGGAGAAAGUGAAGGUUCUUCCAUGACAGCCACAAUGUGUUCACCCAAGAAGUACUCAUAUGGCUCUGUGACGGGGUCCACUCACUGCAGGUAAUGCCUCCUUCUGUGUCACUUU